UACGAAGGGGGCUAGCGUUGUUCGGAUUUACUGGGCGUAAAGCGCGCGUAGGUGGUUCGUUAAGUUGGAUGUGAAAUCCCCGGGCUCAACCUGGGAACUGCAUCCAAAACUGGCGAGCUAGAGUAGGGCAGAGGGUGGUGGAAUUUCCUGUGUAGCGGUGAAAUGCGUAGAUAUAGGAAGGAACACCAGUGGCGAAGGCGACCACCUGGGCUCAUACUGACACUGAGGUGCGAAAGCGUGGGGAGCAAACAGGAUUAGAACCGUAC
rnacentral:rRNA from 1 species